UUACGGUCAAAUCACGCUGAAACACCGGUUCUCGUUCGAUCACCGAAGUUAAGCAUCGUAGAGCCAGGUCAGUACUUAGUACGCUUGGGAACACCUAGUACUGUAAG